rnacentral:lncRNA from 1 species
AGGCAAAGCAAAGCAAGGGCUCAGAACCAAAGUAGUCUGCCUGUGAAGCCCAUGCCCUACACCCUCUGUGAAUUGCCUCACAGCACAGACAAGGGGAGAGAAUAUUUCACUGUAGCCUUCACAGAGCCUAUGACCUGCUAAUCUUGAUUUGUUACUUGUGUUUUAUUCUCUUGGUAGAGAAUUCACUCAUCUGUCCUGAAGUCCAAAUAAUUGUAUUGCCAUCCGCUCCAAGUGUGGAUGUGUGGCGGGCCUGGGAAGCCACAGAGGAGAACAUUGUUCUUACCCUGCCAUUCAGGUCAUAUUUUCCAGCCAGACUGGGACCAGUGAAGGAAUUAAUGGAUCCGCUGAGCAAAAUUCCCCAAGCUAAUGCCUUCAUAAAUUUUCAUCUAGUCCAUUCAUGGGCUUCAACUGAGGAAGCAACCCUGGUCUAAUCAAUUUCGCUCAGUGUGUAAGUGUCUUGUAGAAUAAAGGAUGGUAAGCCAAACCCAAUAAAUGGCUUCUUG